rnacentral:misc_RNA from 1 species
CCAGCGCGUGACGUCUAAGGCCGCGUUACCUUGCGAUCACGUGGCGUGACGUAGAUCAAUGUUAGGUCGUGAUUGGUGCUGACAAACGUGCUGACGACAGAUCGAACGCGUCAUUGGUUUGAAGCAUUGAGCAAUUUAGCCAGGAGUGGCGUUUUAUUUCUACUGGAAUAAAUAAGCACCCACAGCAUCCGCUGAGAGCAAUCUCGUGUGGUGCGCUGCGACGGGGCCAACGUCUCAGCGCAAGUAACCCUGCAGCACACGGGCGUGGAGCAUACCUGGUGGAAGUCCGUACCCAGUCCAGGCACCAGGGACAUAUCCAACGGCACCACCUGCCUACAGUCCUGUGAACUACGCUGCAUUCCCCCAGCAGGUGGCCUCUCAGGGUGGUGCGUGGGGUCAACCACCGCCACCCUACUCGGCCGCCCCCAGCUAUGGCCAACCACCGGCCGGCUACAGCUACGGUCAGCCGCUGCCAGCUGGCUCCGGCCCACCCCAGUGGGCUGGGCAGCCGGCAAUGGUGAUGGCACCUGGCCAGUACCCGCCCCCUGGCGUGCAGAUGGGACCUGGCACGGAGGUCCAUGUGCCGGGUGCAUUCAAUGCCGGCGCGCGGUUCGACGGGCACGCGCAGCCGCGCAUCCCGCCGCCGCCGCCGGGCGUGGCGCCCAACAUGGCGCAGCUUGCGGCGAUGAGUGGCGCGCGCGUCGUCACGUCCCAGCAGAAGAGCGACAAGUGGGUGGGCGGCGCGGGCGGCGGCGCCGUCUUCUGGUAGACGGUGUGAGGCAUCUCGCGCUUACGUUCCGAGACCGCACUGGUGAACCUGAUGGUGCUGGAUUUUUGUUUGUUAAUAGGGAGUAGAUGUCUUGACCAAAGCCAGGGGAGAAUGCAACGCGUUUGUGAGGCACUGAGCGAAGUAAUUGGCGAAGGACCGUGGGUGUGUGGCAAAGCCGCGCGGACCAACUGCACUGGCCAUAUUUGCAAGCUUUCUUGUGGGGUUGUCUUUAAAAGUUCAAGGCCUGUGGUCAUGUCGUGUGCCAAGAUUGAGAGACCACUGCACUGCUGGAAAGUCUGAGUUACACUGCAUUUAUUUACUCUUUUUGAGCUGCGGCGUCUAGGCUGCAACACUUCUGCUUGUAGCGUACUAGAUGUUUGCAGCCAUUGCGCCAAGCAUUCAAGAUGAGCUAGGGCGUGUCAACAGGACAGCUGUAUCUGCAGGUAAAUAAUACAACUACUAUUAUACUGUGAUCGUGGGGGCUGCUGAAAUCGUCCGUCGUCGAUCAGUACCCUGAUUAUUGGUUUAUUGUACAGUUUUCCUCCAGUCGGACUUAGGUGUCUAUGCUAAGUUGCGGAGCGCGUGCUAUAAUGUCAGCAUGCCGCAAAACAUAUUUUUUGUAAUUGGAAUCGCACCUGAAUAAAGCUUUUGAUGGCGUGAA